GACGAACCGUGCGAACGUUGUUCGGAAUCACUGGGCUUAAAGGGCGCGUAGGCGGCUUGCCAAGUCAGGGGUGAAAUCUUUCGGCUUAACCGGAAAAGUGCCUUUGAUACUGGCAGGCUAGAGGGAGGUAGGGGCAUGCGGAACUUCCGGUGGAGCGGUGAAAUGCGUUGAUAUCGGAAGGAACGCCGGUGGCGAAAGCGGCGUGCUGGACCUCUUCUGACGCUGAGGCGCGAAAGCUAGGGGAGCGAACGGG
rnacentral:rRNA from 1 species